CUGGCGGCGUGCCUAAUACAUGCAAGUCGAACGGUCUUUCUAUGGAAGCUUGCUUCCACUGAGAAGAUAGUGGCGAACGGGUGAGUAACACGUGGGUAACCUGCCCAUAAGAGGGGGAUAACAUCCGGAAACGGGUGCUAAUACCGCAUAGUUUUCUUGAUCGCAUGAUCGGGAAAGGAAAGACGGCCUUUGUGCUGUCGCUUAUGGAUGGACCCGCGGCGUAUUAGUUAGUUGGUGAGGUAACGGCUCACCAAGACGAUGAUACGUAGCCGACCUGAGAGGGUGAUCGGCCACAUCGGGACUGAGACACGGCCCAAACUCCUACGGGAGGCAGCAGUAGGGAAUCUUCCGCAAUGGACGAAAGUCUGACGGAGCAACGCCGCGUGAGUGAAAGAAGGUUUUCGGAUCGUAAAACUCUGUUGUCAGAGAAGAACAAGUUGGAGAGUAACUGCUCCAGCCUUGACGGUAUCUGACCAGAAAGCCACGGCUAACUACGUGCCAGCCGCCGC
rnacentral:rRNA from 1 species